GGAUGUGGAAGGUUUUUAGAAGAUGAAUAAAAUUUAAAAAAAAAUUAAAAAAAUAUAAUUUUAAGUUAAAUUAUAGGGAUGGAAAUAAUGAUACGGAUGUGAGUCCUCUAAGAAGCCCGGAUCUGCAAAAUCUAGCUCACCCACAACCCUCCCUUGGAAUUUCAGAUCCCCCACCCGAAAAAGCCUGUAACUUGAGCCAAAUGGCGAAACUGGAAGCGCUAGACGAAUCCAAGGACGAGAAGACCACCGCCAUCCACAAGGGCAAGCACAAGAAGUGGAAUCACGGAUCAACGAAAUUAUUUGUCUUCAUUGAUUACCUUUUCCUCCUCGUAUUCUUCGGGUUUCUCAGCUUCAUUCUUUUCAAGAUUGUUGGCAUUUGAUUCCUAACGAAGUCCCAUAUUUCCUUGAGCCAGGGAAAGUUAUGGGCACAUCUAGGUUCCAGUGUUAGAUUGAGUUCCAAGCUUGAAGGCACUUGCAGGUGUUGUUGCUUUGGUCAGAUUGAGACCUUGCGACUUAUUUUUUGAUUAGUAGAUUAUGUGAUUUAUUUAUGAUGCCUUUCUUGAUGUUGAGGAAUCUUGUGCCCUUGUGAUCAAAGAAGUUUUGAUACCUUCUUUUUAUUCCAUCUCUUCCCGGCCCGCAUUUUAUGAUGGAUAGAAUUAGGAAUGAAAUUGCUUAUUGACAUUAUACAUGAGAUCUAGUUUCCUUAUGAAGUUCUAUCCAUUUUCUGUAUUUGAUUGUGGGCAUUUAUAUUAUUGAGAGUAACAAUAAAAAAAAGUUUGAAUGCUGAAA